UACGUAGGGACCAAGCGUUGUUCGGAUUUACUGGGCGUAAAGGGCGCGUAGGCGGCCUGGCAAGUGGAAGGUGAAAUCCCUCGGCUUAACCGAGGAACUGCCUCCCAAACUGCUUGGCUUGAGACCGGGAGAGGUGAGUGGAAUUCCCAGUGUAGCGGUGAAAUGCGUAGAUAUUGGGAGGAACACCAGUGGCGAAGGCGGCUCACUGGACCGGUACUGACGCUGAUGCGCGAAAGCGUGGGGAGCAAACGGG
rnacentral:rRNA from 1 species